CCUCCGGAGAUUAUCUAUGAAGACUUUAGGAGUGUUUAAAGGUGUCCAGAAGUGCUCAUAUGGCUGUGCAAAGAUAGGGCCAAGUCCAGGAGGGACUUAGAUGAGUGUUUGGGAGCAAAUGGGCAAGUGUGCAUACUUAGGGCGAGGCAGUACGGAUGGUACGGACCUGUACGGAUCCGUACGGACCGAGACAACCCGAGGAUACACAACUUGGCCAUUUGAGAUGUUUUGAGGUGGUGCAAAGUCCGGGACAAGAUGUGCAAACUUAGGGCGUGAUCAGAACAUGUCCGGGAGACUUUGUGCAUACUUAGGGCUAAUAAAAAGAAGUCUGGUCGUGAAGCAUCAAAAGGAAAUCAAGAAGAUCCUUUGUGGAGGCAAGCGGCCAAUGAGAGCAAAGAUGGAGCUGAUUGGUUACUUUGGAGGAUGGACAGGCUGGCCUUGGCUGUAAAGCCAAAGGGGGGCACGACCAUGAACAUGGUCUGAAUGAAGGCUUGAUACAUGGGAGCCUAUAAGGAGCCAAUGGGAGAACAGCCUUUCCUUUGACCAGUUUGAAUCAGCCAAUCAGAUAUCAUCAGCCCUCAGCCAAUCACAAGACAUCACACAGAUUGCAAUACCAAGCUCUCAUCUACACCAUCCAUUCUCUCAAGUUAAUAUUAUCCAUUAGAUUUAGGUUUCAGAUUGUGCAAACCUAUUAAGCUUAUAAAUAAGCUUGUAAGAGGCGAUUUUGAGCCUUAAGGGAGUUUGGGGGAUUUCCCCUCUCCACUUCAUAAUGAAAUGUGUUCUUGAAUCAGAUUCCCUUUAAUCUCUCCCUUUCUUAGUCUUUAAUCUCUUAAUCUCUCAAAGUCUCUUGUUUCUGAUUUGAGUAAACACAUAAACACUCUUGUAAAACUCUCUCUCUAAAAUCACCUAAAACAAACUCUAAUCUUCUCAUCUUGCUCCAUUGGAGCUUAUACACACACACAACCUGAGCUCUGAAAAUCUCACAUGGUAUCAGAGCCAGGUUCAUCUGAAUCUGGUUGAAGCUUCCGCAAACCUCAGAGCUCAAUCCCAUGUCCAUUACAACCAAGAAGAAGCUGUCUGUUCAAUCCGGCUGUUCAACACCUCAAGAGGCAGGCGUGUUCAUCCUGGAGUCUAGAAGCUGUCUGGUGCUGUUCCUCUUCAUCCCAUGUCGCCCUUGAAAAAAGAAGAUCCAAGGAAACAAAGGCAAUGGAGUGGAUUAGCUACCCUCUCUAGCAAAGCCAGUUCCUGGUUCUUGCUAUUCAAAGUCCAAGAAGAAGUUUCUCAAGAAGAAAGCUUGCUGCUUGUACUGGUGUGGCGUGUACAACAUGGAGAAAGGUGGGAGCUAAGACAUGGUGGUUCAAAAGGAAAGGUCCAUGGAAGAUGGAGGCGUUGGAGUGCACACUAACAACUCAGAAUCUGUCCAAUGGAAUCAAGGAUCUAUACAAAGGUCCUUGGCUGUAAGAAAGUUCUUUCUUUUUGUAUAAAGCUUGAGUAUAUUGACAGGUUGUGUUGUGGUGUUGUGAUUGAACAACCUGAGGAUGUGUUAAGAUUGCUAAAUAAACAAUUGUUUAGAAUCUGUCCCAGGAUACUUAUUGAGUUGUGUUUGGUGACUGAGAGUUGUUGCUUGCAUACUGGUUCAUAAUGAUUGUCUUUUAGGAUGAUAGUAGUAAUGUCUAAACCUGAUUGCUUUCAUGAAAUGAAACCAAGUUUAAAUGUGAAGCAUUGAGUGUUGUUGCUGCCUUGUAUUGAUGCAUUGGAUUCAUGUCUAAGUUGCAGAUUAAGGAGCAUUAAAAUUGUCUAAGUAGCUUGUCUUGAAUCUUGAAGGGAUCUUGCUUGUGCUUAGAGAGUUUGCUUGCAAAGAUUAGAACUUGAAAAUGUCUAGUUUAAUCUGUUGCAUUGCUUAAAGACAUUGGUGUUCAAACUUGAUGAUGCAUCAAGGGUUGACCCAAUGCACUUGUGUCUAAUCUUUGCUGGAAUUUGAGUGAUGUUUCAGGUUCACAAGAGGUGUUCUUGGUUCACCAUCCAUCCGAGUUGAAAGAGGAAGACUGUGCCCAUUGUGUGGAGCAAUGGAGAGUUGAGAAAGAAGUGGUGAUGCGCCACUGGUGUGUAGUUUCACUGAAGCUCACUUGCAAGCUUGGACCUAUACUCAAUCCAAGCUUGAGGAGGGGAGUUUAGUGAGCUAUCAGUCGGACCAAGAAGGUUCAGAAGGUCCAUUGCAAGCAACUGAAGAAGAAGGAGCCAUCCGGGUCUAGGCAGUGGCGUGUCUAGGCAAGAGAGUGUUCAGAGCACUCUUGGCUGUGAGAAGAUGAAGACUCUAUCAGUGCGGCUUCUAGUGUGAGGUGACUGAAGAGGUAGCUGAAGCUUCCACAAGCACUCCAUGAAGAUGGCGAGUUCAGAAGGUGUUGCAAUGGAGUAAUGGUACAGAUCAUGAAGCUAUCCAUCCAAGCUUGUUCCUGUGAGAGUCUCAAGCUUGAGGGGGAGUGUUGAAGCUUACAUGAUCUGAGAGUACUUGGUGGUUAUUCAAGAAGAGGAGCAGAUCAGUUAUGAAGCAUAAUGAAGGAUAAAGAAGCAAUCACCAAUGCGGCCUCUAGAGUGAGGUGAUUGGUACUACAGUCUGAAACAUCCUGUCAUGAAGGUUUCAGUAACAUGGUGGUGACUCAUGAAGAAGAAGCAGCCAAGAAUCAGCUUGUAUCUAUCAAGGAAGAUCUGGUAGUCCGAGCACUUGAUCACACCAAGAAGGUUGUGAGAAAGGGGGAGAGACCAAGAUCUGUCUAAAGAAGAGUACAAGAAGUGUUGAUGAUGAGCAAGAGGAGUGGGUUCUAUCUUGCAUCAAAUGAGGGCCAUGAUCCAGAGUCUUUGUGUCCCUUACAUUGCUGGUAAGGCACAAAGACUCACUGGCCAAUCCCUAGGCCUUGGAGGCUUUACUCUUUUUCCCUCAUCAAGGUUUUGUCCCAAAGGGUUUUCCUUGGUGAGGUUUUUAAUGAGGAAGUUCUUCAAGGUUCCAAGCUUGACUUAGGAUCAGCUAGAGUCAAGCUUGAGGGGGAGUGUUGACUUGAAGAAAAGAAAUGGAGUGGUGAAGUGUUGAGUUGAGAUUGAGUCUUGAGCAAGAAUAGGGCAAGACCUCCGGAGAUUAUCUAUGAAGACUUUAGGAGUGUUUAAAGGUGUCCAGAAGUGCUCAUAUGGCUGUGCAAAGAUAGGGCCAAGUCCAGGAGGGACUUAGAUGAGUGUUUGGGAGCAAAUGGGCAAGUGUGCAUACUUAGGGCGAGGCAGUACGGAUGGUACGGACCUGUACGGAUCCGUACGGACCGAGACAACCCGAGGAUACACAACUUGGCCAUUUGAGAUGUUUUGAGGUGGUGCAAAGUCCGGGACAAGAUGUGCAAACUUAGGGCGUGAUCAGAACAUGUCCGGGAGACUUUGUGCAUACUUAGGGCUAAUAAAAAGAAGUCUAGUCGUGAAGCAUCAAAAGGAAAUCAAGAAGAUCCUUUGUGGAGGCAAGCGGCCAAUGAGAGCAAAGAUGGAGCUGAUUGGUUACUUUGGAGGAUGGACAGGCUGGCCUUGGCUGUAAAGCCAAAGGGGGGCACGACCAUGAACAUGGUCUGAAUGAAGGCUUGAUACAUGGGAGCCUAUAAGGAGCCAAUGGGAGAACAGCCUUUCCUUUGACCAGUUUGAAUCAGCCAAUCAGAUAUCAUCAGCCCUCAGCCAAUCACAAGACAUCACACAGAUUGCAAUACCAAGCUCUCAUCUACACCAUCCAUUCUCUCAAGUUAAUAUUAUCCAUUAGAUUUAGGUUUCAGAUUGUGCAAACCUAUUAAGCUUAUAAAUAAGCUUGUAAGAGGCGAUUUUGAGCCUUAAGGGAGUUUGGGGGAUUUCCCCUCUCCACUUCAUAAUGAAAUGUGUUCUUGAAUCAGAUUCCCUUUAAUCUCUCCCUUUCUUAGUCUUUAAUCUCUUAAUCUCUCAAAGUCUCUUGUUUCUGAUUUGAGUAAACACAUAAACACUCUUAUAAAACUCUCUCUCUAAAAUCACCUAAAACAAACUCUAAUCUUCUCAUCUUGCUCCAUUGGAGCUUAUACACACACACAACCUGAGAUCUCUGAAAAUCUCACA
rnacentral:lncRNA from 1 species